AUAAUAUAUAGUGUUUAAUGAUGAUAAGAAGUGGAUUUCCUUUACUUAUUAUGCAACAGAAGCUGCCAAUUUGCUGAAUAAUUUAUCGUUGGAUCAAUCGAAAACAUUGGAAGACUCAGAGCCUGCUAACAAGCUCUCUGUUGACUCAGAGGUCAAUGGGACUGGUCAAAGUCCAAGUCUUGAUAGGUCUCUUACACCAGUGAUCCCUGAUAUUAUGGAUCCACCGGUGGCUUAUUUUCCUGCAUAUUACUAUGGAGGUUAUGAUGGGGUUACUAAUGACUAUCAACCGCACAACUACAACACAGGUUGAAAAUCAGAUGUGAAGACGAAUUUAUUAUCAAGGUCGGACCAAGCUUAUCAAGUGGUGAGCUUUUUUCAAUGGAGAUUUAAACGGGCUGCGAACUUUUUGAACA